rnacentral:rRNA from 1 species
UACGGGGGGGGGCAAGCGUUGUUCGGAAUUACUGGGCGUAAAGGGCUCGUAGGUGGCCAACUAAGUCAUACGUGAAAUCCCUCGGCUUAACCGGGGAACUGCGUCUGAUACUGGAUGGCUUGAGGUUGGGAGAGGGAUGCGGAAUUCCUGGUGUAGCGGUGAAAUGCGCAGAUAUCAGGAGGAACACCGAUGGCGAAGGCAAGAGACUGGACCGCUCCUGACACUGAAACACGAAAGCGUGGGUCGCGAAUGGG